UUAAAAAGGGUGAUGCACAAUUAGACU
rnacentral:piRNA from 1 species